AUGAACGCUAGCGACAGGCCUAACACAUGCAAGUCGAGGGCAGCACAAGGAGCAAUCUGAGGUGGCGACCGGCGCACGGGUGAGUAACACGUAUGCAACCUGCCUGUAAGCGGGGAAUAACCCGUUGAAAGACGGACUAAUACCGCAUAAUACUAAAUUACUGCAUGGUAAUUUAUUUAAACAUUUAUGGCUUACAGAUGGGCAUGCGCAUGAUUAGCUAGUUGGAGAGGUAACGGCUCCCCGAGGCAACGAUCAUUAGGGGUUCUGAGAGGAAGGUCCCCCACACUGGUACUGAGACACGGACCAGACUCCUACGGGAGGCAGCAGUGAGGAAUAUUGGUCAAUGGACGAGAGUCUGAACCAGCCAAGUCGCGUGCAGGAAGAAUGUCCCUAUGGAUUGUAAACUGCUUUUGCAGGGGAAUAAAGUGCAUCACGUGUGAUGUUUUGUAUGUACUCUGCGAAUAAGGAUCGGCUAACUCCGUGCCAGCCGCCGC
rnacentral:rRNA from 1 species